rnacentral:misc_RNA from 1 species
UUCGUGAUAUGUUGUUUAACAAGUUCAAUCGAACAUUUUUGAUCAUCACUUCUGCUAGAAUCCACCCAAAUGUCGCACAACGACGUGAGGCGGCAAGCAGACGAUGCGUCAAAUAAGGAUGAUGAGCUUCAGCUGGAGUUGGAACCCAUUCCGAUGUGGCUGCGGAUCGCAAUGGCAAUCGUCUGCACAUUAAACAUGGCUGCCAUUGCAUACAUCGCUGUUCUGAUCGGAAUACAGAAAGGCUGGAAAUAUUCAAUCCACUGCUUCUUUCUCUGUCUUUUUGCUUUUUUAUUCCUAAUACAAUUAAUAAGAGCACAGUCAAAAUUCCACGCAAAAGCAGCCAGCUCCUCGAGCUAUUUUAUGUUCUUUAUCACUUUAAGCACAAGCUUCACUUUGCUUAUAAGACAGGCCUACUAUCAUCCGUCGUCUGGUUACUUUGGACCUGAAUGGGUAUUGUUCUCUCUUCAAGCAGGCAUCAUCCCUGGACUCGUUGGCAUGGUUGUGAUGUUUGAAUUCAGUCUUCAAGAAAUCUAUAAAAGCCGGUUUAUCAUCAUGGUCGCGGUUCUCGACUUUGCGGAUAUUUGGGACAUGGCAUCUAUGCUCUCACCAGUAAGGGCACCUUACAUUGAAGAACAAAGCCCCAUUGAAAUUGCAAUCCAGUACUUUUGCAGCACUACAUUCCUCUCUCUUUCGGCUUUUCUCAACAAAGUCAUCAUUGAAGAAUAUUUGAAAAUAUUUAUGGGUCAAAGCGAUGUUUCGCAGGAAGGCCAAAGCGAACUCCACCGCGCAAAGGACAAAUGUUGCACAGCAUAUGUGAAGAUGAAUUCUCGAAUAUAUCAGGAUAUACCAUUCCUGAUCAUUCGUAUAUUUGUCCUGUUGGAAUAUGGUUUUGUAGAUGUCGAUUUUUUGUUUAAGAAUGCAAUUUCUGCCAUCAUCGUUCUCUUUGAUUGCUGUAAAGGUUGCUGCUUUUGCUGUUGCUUAUGUUGUGCAAUGUCUGCGUCGGGAACAAAUACAGCCGAUCAGUAGUAAAUUUCCUUAAUUGUUUUCUAGCCAUACACAUGUAGAAUAGUUUUUAUAUAAAACGUCAAUGCACUAAAUUGACAUUGUACUUAUCUCUUGUAUUACGCAUAUAAAUAUAAUAUAUAUAUUAUUUUACAAUUUAGUAAAUAGUACUCUAUCCUCGAAACAUUUUGUAAGAAAUUGUACUAGAUUGAGCUAAUUAAACGAUAGAAGACAAAGGCUUUCCCACUAAUUUGUCAAAUUUAGUUUGCAAACUAUAUAUUAGAUAUAAUGAGAGCACUUUAUUUUCGUUUUGUACUGAUUUAGCGCGUUCCCUCUAGCUUUGAUUCAUAGUUCCAUCAUCGGUUGGUUAAACAAACAUUGUAUCUUUCCACUCUAGAUUUUAUGAUAAUAAUAAUUGAUAAUAAAAAAUGAACUUAUUUAAUAUUGACCCGCCUAGCUUUUGCUGAGGUUAAUGAUUCGAUUUCUUCAUAAUGAAGAAGUCUCAGAGAAAUAACAUGAAACUAUGUUUAUAAGAAUUAAUNGUAUAAUGCCAUCAGUCGAGCGCAACGUUGCUUCAAUUUCUGGGAACAGACGGAACUUUGAGAAGUCUAAGUCCAUCAAACGAUUGUGAUAUGAAUGAUCAGACAUGAAUUUCUGUAGGUGCCUCGCGAUUUGGAUUCGUGGUUCUAUCUGAAUUACAUUUUGUGCGUAGGAAAGCUNCCCAAAGAUAGAUAAGGAAAGAUGAUUCUGGAACUUUGAGAUAAAACUCUGCAUGAUUUACUCAAUCGAGCGAAACGUAGCAUUUCCAUAAAAACAUAAACAAUUGUGCUAUUUUGAGAUCAGAUAUGAAUUGCCGUAGGUGCUUCGCGAUUAGGAUUGCUGGAAGUAUCAUUUGCUUUCUUAACUUUAUUUAUUGCGUAACCUUAUCGGUGAUUGUAGUGGUGGCAAACAAUGAUGUUGGCGCUGCGUUCGCUAUUCUUUCCGGUCUUUGGAAUUUUGUUUGUGCGCUGGCGAGUCUUUGUGGAAGCGAUAAAGGAUGUUUGUUGUCCUGCUCGAGUGUCAUGGUUUUGCUGGCUUCCACUUUCACUCUCGUCACACGGUAUCACUACUACGAGGUUAUGCCGAAAUAUUCUGGGCUAUUGGCUGAAGUAUUCUCAGGCUUCAUACUUCACAAAGCUGGCCUCGUUUUGUUAGUGUCUGGAAUUCCAGUAAUGUACGGAUGUCUAUGCCAAUCAAUGAUGACAGAUAAAAAGAUGGUUUACAGGGUAAUCGUCGACUUUAUUGAUAUCUACGAGAUGUCAGAGCUGCUUACCAUGGGCGCCAAAAGUUGUACUCUUGCAGGCCCCACACAUGCACCAUUUCCUUACAUUAAUCAUACCAGGAAUGUCUUCAACUGCACCGAAUCGACGUUCUCUUUAUUGACGAAAGAAAGCAACAUGGAAGUGAUCAUUCAAGUUUUGUGCUCAUUUUCCUUCUUGAUUUUNUUUCUUAUUUAUCGCGAAGCGUUGGGAAGAGUCUCGUCAAGGGUACACGAUAACGCUGCUUUUAAAAGAUACGUAAAUAUCACAAGACUCAUCCAAGACAUCCCGUUCUUCAUUAUCCGUGCUGUGGUCUUGAUUUUGUACAAGCUUGAGAACCAGACCAUAUUUUUGGUGAAAAACUUUGCGUCGAUUGGCCUUGUCUCUCUCGCGCUCGCAGGUUUUAAAGAUAGCACUGAAAACAAUGGGCAAUCAUCCAAUAGAAGACAGCCAAGUGGACAGACAAAUCGUGGAUAUGGCAACAAUCCAUAGCACCAUCCAGAAACUGACAUCCAGAGUCUGAAACUGACAUCCAUAAGUCCCUUGGAUAGAUAAUACACUGACAAGUCAUUCACGAUAGCCACCAUGAACAACUUUGAAAUUAUAGUCCAAUUACGCCUUGUAGCCGUCUAGAGAACAAGUUGUUGUCUUUUUCUCCUGGGACACAAUAUUGAAUUUCACCACAAUCUCAGAUUUCAAGUAUGUGUGUUUUUUUUUUAAAUUUUUAUCGACAACAACGCAUGACCCAUCGCCAGUGCACUUGCAUGAGAUAAAAACACCUUGCACAUAAAUUAAANUAGAAAGCAUUAUAUUCUGAGAUUCCCAAAGUAUCAACAUGAUAUUUUCUCGCCGUAUAUCUAUCUUCGUUGACUAGCUUGUUUUUACUCAACAAAUUUGGAAGGAUACUUAAAUGUAACCUUUUCACAAUGAUUAAAUGCAUAAUAUUCCAUAUAUAUUGUUUCUAUACUUUCAUCAAUAAUAUCACUUUCUGGGUGUUGGAGUUCUAGAAGUUCGUCAUAAAACUCGAGAGUGCAUGUUCUAUCGGGCAUAUACAAUGGCAACAUAUGAAAUGUGAAAUAAAGUAUAUGUUCUCUUUAUGAA